CUCCCUUGUCUUCACCCACCGGAGGAGAGUUGGGCGCAGAGAGAGAAGCUGAGAAAACCACCAGAGGACAAGAUAUUCUUACAAUGGAUGGAAACUAAUCAAGGAGAGAAGCAGCCUGGAACUUUCUUACAGUGAGGACAAUUUAUCAGUGAAACAGUUUGCCUUUAGACAUUGUGAGUGCUUCAUCACCGGACAUUUUUAAGAAGAGACUGGACAGUCACUUGUCUGAAAUGAUAUAGAAUCUCCUGCUUGAUCAGGGGACUGGACUAGAAGAGCUCCAAGUUCCCUUCCAGCUCUAUUCUGAUUUUGAUUUGGAAUCCUCAAUCCAUCCUGGUGCUUUUUUGCUAAGUAGGAGGUUUUAAAAGAAAGAUGAGUAUCAAUGGAGAUUAAGUUUAUCGUUUGCCCUCAAAGUGAUGAGUGGAGGCCAAUAUUUAAGUGGUACAUUUCAAGUAACUCCCUCUGAUGAGUAUUGCCACUAGAGCAGAGUUGCAGGCAGAAAUGCAAUUAGUCCUGAAUCCCUUUCUAUUGUUUCAGCUUUUCUUCCUUUGCUUACUAUUGUCACAGUCUGCUUUUCCACCCUGCUUCACAUUAUGUAACACAAGUAACAACUGAGAAAGAAAACCAUAAGGAAAAGGGGGUUAUAGUGAUGCUGAAUUAGAAAAUGCAACUCAUAGGUUCUUUCUCCUUAUUUUGUGGUGAUCUUUCCUUGCCUUCCCUCGUGUUGCCCAUCUCUGGACUCAGAAAAUCUUAUCAAUACCUUUUUUAAAGUGAAGUCUCCAGAACUGGACACAGUAUUCCAAAUGGAGUCUCACUAAAGCCCUAUGUAGAGGGAUAGGAGCUCCUUUUUGCUGAUGGUGGUACAUCUGGUGAUGCAUCCCAGAAUGUUGUAUCUUCAAAGCUGCCUGGCCACACUGUUUACUUUUUUGGAGUUAUCAUUCUUUCAGUGCCAGUGUAACUUUUUUCACAUAGUUGUUUAAAAAAAGUGCUGCUUGAACUCAUUUAUUAAAACAGUUCUAGCAUUGUGUAAAUAUCUUUGUGUCUAUUCCAACUUUCCUCCACAGAGGGAGCCUUAAAGCAAGUAGUGUCAACUCUCAAAACGACUCGAGCUGAAGCCAUAUUUUUCUUGCUUUGUUUCUUAGUUGCCAUACUUAGGGGUAGGGGUAGGGGGAAUUUGUGGAAUGUAGAAUAUUUUCCUCCAAUGUGCCGGAUAUAACAAUGAUAAGGCUCCUGAGAACCAAGGCCAAAUCAGUGUGGCCAAAAAUGGCAGGAGGGAGUGCUGAGAAGUUCAUCAUCUGCUUUCUUGGCUAACCUGUGAUACAAGGGGGCUGGACAGCAUAUAUUUUUUACUUAUACCUAAAAUGUGGGAAUUAUUCAAUUUUGCUUUCACCUUUGACCGUGCAGAUAUGAUGUACCCAAUAAUGAAAUUGGGGGUUUUAAAUUUCGUUCUCUGAGCCAAUUAUUUAAUUGUAUUUUAACUGUUUUUUAACAUUUGUAUUAUAUGUAUUUUAUUUGGCUGUUCACCGCCCUGAGUCCUUCGGGAGUAGGACGUUAUACAAAUUUAAUAAAGAAACAAACAAACAAAUAAAUAAACCGAAUUUUUGAGGAA